CCCAUGUCUCACUGAGACACAUUCAGUUACAUUGAGAAGGAAAAACAGCAGCCUGCUAGAGUUUUAAAAAGCAGCAGAGCAAACACUAAUGGAAAUUACGCCUCUGAGGAAGCUGACCACGUACAGCGAAACGCGUUAGGCACAGUUUGGGGGACACCAGAGCCCAGAAGCAAGGCAUCACGAGGGAAUCUGGAGUGAGUAAGCAGAACUACUACUCGCGACCCCACAUGGACUUUUUAUUGGACUGAAUGCGCAAAAACCCGUCAGGGUAAAUCCCAAUGUAAUACACCAGCAUUUAUUGCAUCAUAGGGUGCAAGCUAACCUCACUACUGUACUGUGGAUCUGGAUGGAGCAGUGGACAGUUAGAAGAACCAAGAGAGGAACCUUUUAUUUACAAGAGAGGCUUUCUCACAUGAGAUUCAAAGACAAAGCUGGAUCAGUCUUGGAUAAUUAAACUACCGUCUCGUAAACCUGGAACAUAUCUAAUAAUAAGCAUAUUUUAUCCUAAGAUGUUGUGAUUAGCAAAAAUAUAAAGCCAAAGUGCUGAGGACAGUAAAUAAGCCACAGAGAAGUAAAAGUAACCAAUGUUGGCUUGCUAUAAAUCCUGCAGUUUCCUUGGAAACAAAAAUAAUAAACCAUAAACAUUGUGCUGAAGAGCAGGAGAAUAUUCUCUGUAUUAACAAAGCAGUGUGUCAGCCUUUCAAAUUAUAUCCAAUACAUUAUUGUCAUAAAGUGCCUACAUCUUUUAGAAGCCCCAAAAAUGCACAACUAGAUCAUCAGAUACAGCUGUAGUAGGUUCAAACCAACCCAAUUUAGCACCAAUCGAGACAAUCACCUCCUGCUCAGCCAGUCAGAUGUUUUCAUUUCAUCCAAAUAUUACAGUACUAAAGAAAGAUAAAAAGGUGUAAGACGUCCUCAAGAUGGAAAGAGAAAGUAUAGAGAGGAAGACCACCUGGAUGCACCCAAAGCAGUGUGCUUUGUUUCCAUUUGUUUUACUCUUCCAAGGGCAACUAAUUACAAAAUAGAACUUCUGAAGAAUAAAUGUAAUGUAAAUUGCUCAUAAUUGUUUUACACAUAAAGUUCAUUAAAAGCAGAAAGGAUUUAGGUUCCAUACUCUCUGGAGCCAACACAGGAGCGUCACAUUUUGCUUCAGAUGGAUAUAUAUUGACCCUGUAAGAUAGUUCAUUUUCUCAAAGCAAGCCUGCACUGGCAAUCUGAAGAGCUGCAGUAAGAUGCCACCAAGUCAAGUGGUCAUGUGGGGGACAGUUUGGGCCUCUGUGCACCUGAACUGUCAGGGCCUGUUUUGAAUCUCAGUGCAGACCGGCCUAAAAGGAACUAAAGCACAACUAAGGAGUGUACUACUAGUUGAUACCUAUCAAACACCCUAAAGAGAAAUUUUGGAGCAAAAAUCCAAGAACCCAAAAGAGCAGGUGGCAAGGACAGGUCCCCGGAGUCGGGGCCGCAAAGGAGGAAGGCAAUUUGCAAAGUAGAAAAAUAUAUAAUUCUCUUUUUGCUGCAUUUGUGCACACUUUCAUUCGACACAGGGAAUUAUUGGGGUAUACAACUUAAAUUGCGGCUGUGUUCUCUACUGAACCUAUCCAGACUAGCAAUUAUAAGCACUCGGGGAUGGCACCCUUGAGGGAUUUGGGGUUUUAUUGUCCUUUUAAAGUCAAGACAUAUCCUUUUUCAGAGAUUCCUGAUAACCUACUACAUUCCUAUAAGGGCCACUAGGGGCAUUUAACAACAGAAAGGCAAUGGUCAAAGUGCAACAAACAGGAACAAUGACCCUUUACCAAUGUUAUGACUUUGGGAAACAAACACAAUGAUUCCUAGGAUGUGCCUAGGGCAGCAGAGAAUAUUUUCCAAUUUUUACUAUAUAAUAACUGGUACAGUUGCAAAAUCUUGUUUUCUGGGUCAUUUCGAUGCUACCCAGGAAUUAGAUGAGUGAGGAAAUGCAAAUAGUUGCCCAAGUCUCCACAGCUUUGGUAAUGACAUUAUUAUCAUACUGUAUAAUUAUGUUACUAAAUUACUUGUGCACUGAUAUCAUGUGGUUGCAUGGGGGUCUAUUUUGCAUUAGAAUGGCCUUUUGAGUAAGUUACACAAUGCAAUGGAUCCACCUGCAUGUCAACAUUGAUAUUGUGAGAUGGAACAGAAUGGAAGAAUAAACCAACAUAAACGGAUCACUGUAAAGUUUACCUUGAAUAAAGAGCUUGCACUUGGUUUCUACCCAAAAUGUGUCCCCAAGCUGGGUGAAAAUAGGGGGCAGCAUAUCCUACAGCCUGCUCUAUCACAAAGCUGCAUGCUGCUUUAUUUCAGAUGGGCACAAACAGAAAUGUCAAAUUUCUAAAACAGGCAACAGCAGUUCUGUUAGAAAAACGGUUCUGCUCUAGAUUUAGCAGUAAUUGAUUUUCCACCAUUUGCUAUUCCCGGACUCCAACAGGCUGCAGUCAUUUGCAGCUGCCACUGAGAAGACUUAUUAAAAGUGAUAAGGCUUUCUGCAGGGAAUAGUUAAUACUCCUUACAGAACCCUGCCACGGUUGUUUAACCCUUUGGCAACCUUAGCAGGUGCACAGCACAUAACAAUUGAAAUAGGUUGGCCUACGACUGAAAGUUCAGUUUCUUCCCAGUCUGCAUUGCAAAAAAUGAACUAGAGAGUUGGCAGACUGUGCAUUUGCUGGGGAACCCUAUGGGACACUGAGAAAUAAGCAGUUUCAUGAAAUAUGUCUUAUUACAUAUGAUUAGAGGAGCCCUAAAUAAUUUUCAUACUUCUCAUUUCAAGUAGAAAAUGUUGCACAAAUACACAAUAUAAAAUACAUUCUCUGUAGUUGUCUGAUACUAUGGAAUAGUGUUAUCUGAUUGGUCUGAUGGGCAGGCAUGUGAUUUUUGGGUAAAUGGAAAGCAGAUUGGAAACAAGCACCUCUAGAUACUGUAGAUGUUUUGUCCUUUGGCACAAUCUGCUGCUGAGAACUAUGAACUUCCAUCUCAUAGACGAGGAGGUGAUCCCUUUAAAGUUGAGAUGUAUUUGGUCAUUUUAUGUCCAUGAAAAAACAAAGAACACAAAAAAAAAACAGACAGGCAAACAAUCAUGUUUCUCUAAAUAUAAGUUAUGUAUUUGACAGUAAGUAUUCUGACUUUUGCAGUAAAUUAUUCUCCAGCAUUAA